rnacentral:rRNA from 1 species
GAUGAACGCUGGCGGCGUGCCUAAUACAUGCAAGUCGAGCGAACAGACGAGGAGCUUGCUCCUCUGACGUUAGCGGCGGACGGGUGAGUAACACGUGGAUAACCUACCUAUAAGACUGGGAUAACUUCGGGAAACCGGAGCUAAUACCGGAUAAUAUAUUGAACCGCAUGGUUCAAUAGUGAAAGACGGUUUUGCUGUCACUUAUAGAUGGAUCCGCGCCGCAUUAGCUAGUUGGUAAGGUAACGGCUACCAAGGCAACGAUGCGUAGCCGACCUGAGAGGGUGAUCGGCCACACUGGAACUGAGACACGGUCCAGACUCCUACAGGAGGCAGCAGUAGGGAAUCUUCCGCAAAGGGCGAAAGCCUGACGGAGCAACGCCGCGUGAGUGAUGAAGGUCUUCGGAUCGUAAAACUCUGUUAUUAGGGAAGAACAAAUGUGUAAGUAACUAUGCACGUCUUGACGGUACCUAAUCAGAAAGCCACGGCUAACUACGUG